CUGAACGCCUCUAAGUCAGUAAAAGAGGUACAAAGGUUUUGANGGAAUUGAAUUGAGCCCNNGCCNUNUUUGACGUNGAUGUNGUGAAUUUCACCCACAUCUNUUCUUCNAUGAAUUAAUCAGCANUGUCUNGCAUAAAAUCUGACGGCGGGGCCCNUAAGCUUGGUCAAUUCCUCUAAACACCUGUAAACACCUCUUACAAAUCUGUGGGCAUAUCUCUUCUAAUAACUCAAGCUACAGUCCUAUCCUAGCUCCCUCCCGCUAUCGAAAGAUUUGUUUCCCACGCGUUCUUGAACACCUUGGACUUCACAAGAGCCAUGACAGACUACACUCCACCAACCUCCCCUUUCAUCCGUCGCAGAAAGCUCUUGAACGGACUUCGUCUCAGAUAUCCACGGCCAUAGGACUCUG
rnacentral:misc_RNA from 1 species